rnacentral:rRNA from 1 species
CUAGCUACAGGCUUAACACAUGCAAGUCGAGGGGCAUCAGGUAGAAAGCUUGCUUUCUUUGCUGGCGACCGGCGCACGGGUGAGUAACACGUAUCCAACCUGCCCUUUACUCGGGGAUAGCCUUUCGAAAGAAAGAUUAAUACCCGAUAGCAUAAUGAUUCCGCAUGGUUUCAUUAUUAAAGGAUUCCGGUAAAGGAUGGGGAUGCGUUCCAUUAGGUUGUUGGUGAGGUAACGGCCCACCAAGCCUUCGAUGGAUAGGGGUUCUGAGAGGAAGGUCCCCCACAUUGGAACUGAGACACGGUCCAAACUCCUACGGGAGGCAGCAGUGAGGAAUAUUGGUCAAUGGGCGCUAGCCUGAACCAGCCAAGUAGCGUGAAGGAUGAAGGCUCUAUGGGUCGUAAACUUCUUUUAUAUAAGAAUAAAGUGCAGUAUGUAUACUGUUUUGUAUGUAUUAUAUGAAUAAGGAUCGGCUAACUCCGUGCCAGCAGCCGCGGUAAUACGGAGGAUCCGAGCGUUAUCCGGAUUUAUUGGGUUUAAAGGGAGCGUAGGUGGACUGGUAAGUCAGUUGUGAAAGUUUGCGGCUCAACCGUAAAAUUGCAGUUGAUACUGUCAGUCUUGAGUACAGUAGAGGUGGGCGGAAUUCGUGGUGUAGCGGUGAAAUGCUUAGAUAUCACGAAGAACUCCGAUUGCGAAGGCAGCUCACUGGACUGCAACUGACACUGAUGCUCGAAAGUGUGGGUAUCAAACAGGAUUAGAUACCCUGGUAGUCCACACAGUAAACGAUGAAUACUCGCUGUUUGCGAUAUACAGUAAGCGGCCAAGCGAAAGCAUUAAGUAUUCCACCUGGGGAGUACGCCGGCAACGGUGAAACUCAAAGGAAUUGACGGGGGCCCGCACAAGCGGAGGAACAUGUGGUUUAAUUCGAUGAUACGCGAGGAACCUUACCCGGGCUUAAAUUGCAGUGGAAUGAUGUGGAAACAUGUCAGUGAGCAAUCACCGCUGUGAAGGUGCUGCAUGGUUGUCGUCAGCUCGUGCCGUGAGGUGUCGGCUUAAGUGCCAUAACGAGCGCAACCCUUAUCUUUAGUUACUAACAAGUUAUGCUGAGGACUCUAGAGAGACUGCCGUCGUAAGAUGUGAGGAAGGUGGGGAUGACGUCAAAUCAGCACGGCCCUUACGUCCGGGGCUACACACGUGUUACAAUGGGGGGUACAGAAGGCAGCUAGCGGGUGACCGUAUGCUAAUCCCAAAAUCCUCUCUCAGUUCGGAUCGAAGUCUGCAACCCGACUUCGUGAAGCUGGAUUCGCUAGUAAUCGCGCAUCAGCCACGGCGCGGUGAAUACGUUCCCGGGCCUUGUACACACCGCCCGUCAAGCCAUGGGAGCCGGGGGUACCUGAAGUACGUAACCGCAAGGAUCGUCCUAGGGUAAAACUGGUGAC